UCGUGUUUUAUCACUCAAACAGUAGUUCGUUGUUGUGUCAUUAGCUAGCUGCUAGCUAAAAACUUUGCCUCUUCCCCUUAGCGAUGACAACAGCUGUCACUCAGCAGUAUUACUGUAAUAUUGGUAGAAGAGCUACUGUAAGGAGAUGUGUUGUUACAUGUCUGCUGGACUGUGUGUUUUUCUCCCCCCUUGUGUCUCCUGUCUCUCACAGGUUCAGAGUGCAGGGUGAUGCCAAUUUGCCUUGAUUGGCUUGAGGGAGCCGAUCAGGCAGCUCUACAUAAACUGCUCACCUGUAGGGCAGGGGGUGUGGCUUCACCUGGCUGGCUUUUUGGCACAUGCUUUGUUCUUCAGCAUUGUUUCAAGGUGCCUGCAGUGGCUGGCAGUGUGCUGCCACUCCGGCUUUCCCGAUUUAAUCCUGGUGCCCUCUCUGAGCCUCUUUGCCCUGUCCGAGCGCUUGAGGCGUAUGUCUGUUCCACGGCACCCAUUCGUCGGACUGACUGUCUCUUCAUUUGUUAUGCUGGCUCUCGGAAAGGAUCAGCCCCUGCCGAGCAGCGUGCGCUGACACUCCACUAGGAGCCUCUCCACCUCGUGGGCUGCCAUGACCGGGGUGCCUCUGGAGGCCAUUUGUGAAGCUGCUUCCUGGACGGUGCCAAGCACCUUUGCCAAGUUUUACAGGGUGAACGUCGCCACGCCGCAUCCCCUACAGGGAAUACUGGAGCAACCGCCUUCUGCAUUCCGCUGAGAAAAAUAUGCAAUAGCGAGUGUGGAGGAGAUAUGAGCCACAGACAUCCAAAGGCCCCUCCAGAGCACAAGAACCCCAGGAGAACCACCGCCGACACUACUGCAACCCCCUCCAGAGAAGUGCAGAGGAGAGCCCCAGGGGAACCACCCAGCAGCCACAGUGCAGAAGCCCCAGGGAGCUAGAGCGACGAGCCCAAAGGCCCGGCCGACAAAUGUCUGCGCCCGAGCAGAUCCAGCCAUGGACAACAGAGACCCAAGACCCCGGGACAUAUCACUCCCCAAGCAGGGGCCCGACAGAGCGCAGGGGUCCAGGUCAUGGCAAGCAGCCACCGGGAGUGAGCCAGUACAUAUCAAAGUACCCAGUCCCGGACACCGAGAACCACAAGUACACCAGCGGGCAGAGACAACAACCACCGGCAGGUAGUGUGGCGAGGAGGAAAUAGGCCCCACACUUGAUGGGGGGCCUAAACUAAUUCAGGAGAGGGAGC